rnacentral:rRNA from 1 species
CAUGCAAGUCGAACGAGAAUCUGUGGAUCGAGGAUUCGUCCAAGUGAAGCAGAGGACAGUGGCGGACGGGUGAGUAACGCGUGAGGAACCUGCCUUUCAGAGGGGGACAACAGUUGGAAACGACUGCUAAUACCGCAUGAUACAUUUGGGUGGCAUCAUCUGAAUGUCAAAGAUUUAUCGCUGAAAGAUGGCCUCGCGUCUGAUUAGCUGGUUGGUGAGGUAACGGCCCACCAAGGCGACGAUCAGUAGCCGGACUGAGAGGUUGACCGGCCACAUUGGGACUGAGAUACGGCCCAGACUCCUACGGGAGGCAGCAGUGGGGAAUAUUGGGCAAUGGGCGCAAGCCUGACCCAGCAACGCCGCGUGAAGGAAGAAGGCUUUCGGGUUGUAAACUUCUUUUAAGAGGGAAGAGCAGAAGACUGUACCUCUAGAAUAAGCCACGGCUAACUACGUGCCAGCAGCCGCGGUAAUACGUAGGUGGCAAGCGUUGUCCGGAUUUACUGGGUGUAAAGGGCGUGCAGCCGGGAAUGCAAGUCAGAUGUGAAAUCCAUGGGCUUAACCCAUGAACUGCAUUUGAAACUGUAUUUCUUGAGUACUGGAGAGGCAAUCGGAAUUCCUAGUGUAGCGGUGAAAUGCGUAGAUAUUAGGAGGAACACCAGUGGC